rnacentral:rRNA from 1 species
AUACGUAGGGGGCGAGCGUUGUCCGGAAUUACUGGGCGUAAAGGGUACGCAGGCGGCCAUGUAAGUCAGAUGUGAAAGGUCACGGCUCAACCGUGGUAAGCAUUUGAAACUGUGUGGCUUGAGUUAAGGAGAGGAAAGUGGAAUUCCUGGUGUAGCGGUGAAAUGCGUAGAUAUCAGGAGGAAUACCAGUGGCGAAGGCGACUUUCUGGACUUAAACUGACGCUGAGGUACGAAAGCGUGGGGAGCAAACAGGAUUAGAUACCCUGGUAGUCCACGCCGUAAACGAUGAGUGCUAGGUGUCGGAGGGAGACUUUCGGUGCCGCAGUUAACACAUUAAGCACUCCGCCUGGGGAGUACGUUCGCAAGAAUGAA